CGUUGAUUACGUCCCUGCCCUUUGUACACACCGCCCGUCGCUACUACCGAUUGAAUGGCUUAGUGAGGUCUUCGGAUUGGCUUUGGAAAGCCGGCAACGGCAUUCUGUUGCUGAAAAGUUGAUCAAACUUGGUCAUUUAGAGGAAGUAAAAGUCGUAACAAGG
rnacentral:rRNA from 1 species